GGUGCUAUUAUUUUAUUUUUUAUUUUUCAAGUCAUUUUUAUUAUUUCUAAAAAAUGAAAGAAAAAACUCUUACUUUCUCUAUUUUCAAAAAUAAAAAACUCAUGUCUUUUACCACCAUCAUUGCUACGGUCAUCACCAUCGUCUCCACCAUCAUCAUUGCAAUUGCCAUCACCAUUAUUAUCACCACUAUUAUAGGCAUCGCCGUUGCCUCAACCACCAACACUGUUGCCGCUACCACCACAACCAUUGCACCUCCACAUUUGCCACACUAGCAUUGCCACUAUGACCUUUGCUACACCACCACCACCAUCAUCACUGCCACUGCCACAUCAGUAGUUCCUUGACCACGCCACUACCGCCACUACGAUCUCCAUCGUCUCCGGCACCACGAUCACCAUCUCAACCACCAACAUCAUGUUUAUAGUUUCAAAAGUAAUUGACGAUACCAAAUAUGUUUAUAUUUUGAAAAAUUUAGAAAUAAAAUAGAAACAAAAAUUCUAUUCUUUAUUUCUAAAAAGAAAAAUAAAGGGGUCUCUAAUGAUACCUAAGUAUUUUCUUUUUCUUUUUCUUUCUUGUAUUUUUUUACAAAUGCUAUAGGCAAUAUCUUUCAUGAGCCUUAAUUAUCUGAUUGUAGAUCUCUAAUAUUGCAAUCAGUAUUGGUGAAUGUGGAGGUGUUAUUAACUUAAGGAUGACAUCAGUUGCUUGGCUUUCGGUUCUUUCUGUCACCAGAUAUCCUUCAGACACUUUAGUUUUUCUUGGUAGGUCAUUUUCAAGACUGAAAAACUUUACUCACUAGAGGUUCUAUCUCUUCCAGCUAUCUAGUUUUCUCUGGCCAAUACCCAAAUCACAUCUGAAUUCGUUUAAACAAAUGUAGUGCUAUUUGAUCCAUAUCUGUUCUCAUUUAUGACAAGGAGAUGACUAAUAUCCAACUUGUAUUCAUUUCAAACAAAAUAUAAUGUAACUAAUUAUAUACUUAUAUCUAUUUAGAACAAAUAUGGAUACAAAUUUUAUUUUUUUCUUUCCAUGAUAUACCCAUCUCCAUAUCAACUAAAUAAAAAUGGAGCUGAUAUUCAACUCAUAUCAUAUGUGUUCAGCCCCCAUUCAAACUUUUUCAGCAACUUACAUGGGACUUCAUCUAUAACCUUUCACAUUGGAUUUUAUUGCUGCAUACCAGCUUGUUCUGGUACAUAUCUCUUUCAUAGACAUGGUACAGGUCGAUAAACAGUACUGUGGGUCAUUAGCUUGCUUUCCCAUUUUAAACCCAUGCACAAUCAUACCGGAUAAUCCUAUUUCCAUCUGGGGCAGGAUGGAGCUCACUUUGUUGUUCCUUUUGAUUUUUUCUGGAGAUCUUGAGAUCCGAUUUAUCAAUCAAAUGCAAUAUGAGCUGAAACUGAUCAAAGGAAAAAUUUUAAGAUAACAUAUCAGCUUUCCAUAGUACUAUCACUAUAUAGGCUUCUUACAGACAAAGCAGUUAAAUGUAAAAAUUUGCAAUGUUUUGUCAAACAUAGCUUUAUGCCCCCAUUAUAGUUUUGUUAUGAAUUGAACACUUAAAUAUUUGUGUGAAUAUUACUAUUUGUAAAUUAACAGAAUUGUGCAAUGCAUUUGGUAAAUAACAAUAAGAACAGACUGUUGUGAUGAUCUAUGAUGCUAAUUUUUGAAAGAUGAAUUACAGAUUAUGUUAUGUCUAACUAAGCAUAUAAAUAUACUACUAUAAAGUUAUAAACAAUGAUUGUUUAUAGAUAAAUGAAUGAAGGAGCAUAUCUUAAUCUGCCAGCUGCAAAACUUUCUUAGAAGUUGUGUAUCCCAUAUUGGUGCAUGCCAAGCAUCAGCAUGCUCAGUUCUCGUCUCAUCUAGGCACUAUUCCUGAUUCUGCAAGCCUUAUUUUAUAUAGUGGAAGCCAUAGUCAGUACGAGUAUCACUUAUUAGCUUAAGUAAUAGAUUAUUGUAACAGAUGUAAUAGUCCCAUUGAGAAUGUGAA
rnacentral:lncRNA from 1 species